UACGAAGGGGGCUAGCGUUGCUCGGAAUCACUGAGCGUAAAGGGUGCGUAGGCGGGUCUUUAAGUCAGGGGUGAAAUCCUGGAGCUCAACUCCAGAACUGCCUUUGAUACUGAGGAUCUUGAGUUCGGGAGAGGUGAGUGGAACUGCGAGUGUAGAGGUGAAAUUCGUAGAUAUUCGCAAGAACACCAGUGGCGAAGGCGGCUCACUGGCCCGAUACUGACGCUGAGGCACGAAAGCGUGGGGAGCAAACAGGG
rnacentral:rRNA from 1 species